GGAUGAAAUAACAUUAGUUUAAAAGAAAACCAAUAAAGAAAGAUUAUAUAACUGUGGUUAAUAGAUACGAAAGAGUAAAACUAGACAAGAAAAUCGACUGCCCUACAAAGUGGGAGAAGUUUACAAUUCAAAGGAGCGUUACCGUACCAUUGGAUGGCCUCCAUCUUAGAGAACUUCAAAGGAUUAUAAACAAGGAAUGAAAAGCUUGUUUUCAGACGACUAAUUACAACUAUUAGUUUCAGUGGGACAAGACUGUUUCAUUUUUUAAUAGACUUACACAAGGACAUGAACUCUGAUCAUUUAUGCUGCCCACCAAAAGAAUUUAAUCGACCACGAGUUACGGAGCGUGAAUCUAGAAUUCACGUGACCUUGAGACGGUGCUGCCAAGCAGACGAGUUGCCGGAUGAAAGCGGGAAUCUGUGUUGCGCGACACCAGAGAAAAAAAAAGAUUAUUUUUUCUCUUCGCCUUCUUCCUCAAGGACACGCGAAUGGGACGAAAGCCG